AACGCAAUCGCAAUGCAGGCCAAUCCCUCUGCCCCGUUCGUCCACCCGCUCGCUCGCCCUCCCGUUCCCGGUAAUGACAAUCAUUACGGGGAAUGAUUGCAGCGUCGGGUCCGCCAGCGCGCCAGCCGCUAUUGGGGGAUGGAAACCACCUUAUAGAGUCUCUCCUCGGUCCUCGAUGCGAGCGGUUUGUCACAUGCUCCCGACGCGGCACAGUGUUUCCUUUUCGUCGCGAUUCCUUACGAAUUCGUUACCACGGUGAAAAAAUACCAUCCUUUUCGCUGAACGAUCGUGUAAGAUGGACAGACGUUGAGGAUGCGAUCGUUCGAAGUAUGGCCGACGAUUUCGAGCCUCGAACACGUGGAUUUCUAGAAGACCUCUAUCGUGGAGAAAGGUUUACCGAGAUUGGAUUGGAAUUUUUGUGGCUUUUCGAGGUGCUAAUUUGAGAAAUGCAAUUGGAGUAAUGGACUGCGAUGCUGGAUGGAGAAAGUGAUAAAUGGAAGACGCGGACGAUGCGACGGUCGCGUGAUGGAAACGUCUCAGUGCGAUAUGAGUGCGUCAUCGAAUACUCAGGGUCAGGAUGAUGUAAUUACUGGAAGAUUUUUUGUAUGGCUCGGCGAAUGAUGGAAAAGGCUUAUUUGUGAUAAACAUAGUAAAAUGUAUGCAAAAAGUCUAUACAUGAGAAUCAUCGAGAUGACAGAAGAACAUGGCGGUCAUUCGACCACGUGACUGUUUGUACGACCAUUUUCAAGCAGCAUCAGUCACUGGAGAUUCGCCAAGUUUCCUGAAACUUCUCUGUACAACGGAGCCACGAGGUUAAUAGCUAAUUGUCGUUUGAAAACCGAUCGAUUUCUGAUGCUCGGUGAAUUCCUUCGUCCGGAUGCAGGUGGAAAGAAAUCUCGAGCAGACAUAACGGUGCAGCACAGGGACAGAGGAAAAAAGAGAACGAGAACCUUGAACCAAUCGUAAAUGGCGUGGAGUGAAAGCGGUCGGUCUCCGCGGUUUUCCCAGAAGAGCGCGAGCCACGAAAUUAUCGACCUGUAAAUCGGAACGAAGGAUCUCGUUUCUUACUUACCAACGUGGGUAUGAGCCCGCUCUCUGUGCCAGAAGAAAAAGGAAAUAUAAAAGAAAGAACGAAGAUUGAACGUACACGUUGGUCCCGAGACGAAAAUCGUGAAUCCGGUGCGUGCUACGAACGACGAUUCAGACGUUACAAUUUGCUCCUCGCCGCGAACAGCUUUCUGCCACGUCAAUCCUCGCAUGUCGAAACGUGGCUCGGUGUUCCCUACGAUUGAUUUACAUCAUCCAUUUGACGGAUUACGAAUAACGAUGUUUAGAUGUUUCAGAAAAUGACUGGCGAGCCGGGUUUGAAGAUUUCUAUCGAGAACAUUAUUGCACAACGCAACCGAGUGAUUGAUGGAGAGCGUGCACUAUUUUCUGACAUGGUUUCGAUGAAAAAAAGUGUCAUUUAUUUCCCCCAGUGAUAACUCUGGGAAUCCUUCCACUUGGAUUAAUGACUAACCAUUAUCGUGCAGACUGUGUAUCAUUUCUUACACUUUAAUUGCGAGUAACUGGAAAAUAAAGCGGUAGCUUCGCCCACGAAAAACCAGAGAGAAACAGAGAGAUUUAUUCUAUGCUAUUAUAGUAAUGAAAAAACGAGAAAAGGAGCUGCAAUAGACGAGAAAGCGUCGUGGGGUCACACCUUACCCGAUCGAAAAGGAAGAUGAGAUUGAACGGUGACACUCGACGGACAAUACCCCGUGACUCGAUUACACACGAGUACCGUUAAUCAUCCUAAUAGCGUGCGCAUAAUGUCAGAUACGAUCUGCGUUCGCUUGCUACGGUAGAUUCGUGAUGCCACGCUCCUCCAACGAUCGUUCGGCCCACGUGCGACUCGGCGUCGCACAGGAUGAGUCGAAUAGAAAAUGAAAUCAUGCUCCGCCGCUUAGAAAUACGGCUUUAAGAUCGUGAAUGGGCGUACGGAGACAAUCGGAGACGCUAGGCGCCUGAAUUCCGAUUGGACGUUGCCUUCUAAUUGAGUCAUCGUGUCAUUAGCGUUAUAAUAAUCGCGGCUCGUAACGAAACGAUCUCUCUUUGUUGACUGUACGCUGGCCUGGAACGCCACCGCCGGGAAAACACAGAGAUCCACCCGAAGAUCGUACGUAGAUCGAUGGCCAAUUAAGCUCAAUUACCGACACGGAUAAUCGGCCACCGUCGGUGAAAGAAUGAUUAUUCCGCGAAUGAUCGGUUAGGAUAUCGACCUUGGCUGAUUUUGCAAGAUCGAUUGCAACGAUAAAAUAGACAGAGGAAGGAAUUCUUGACCAAGUAGGAAGAAUGAUUGGAUGGAGAAAGGAGUUUACGAGGGAGGAAAGAGAAUUUCUUAAAUUGAAUUUGCGAUUACAUUUGAAGAUAUAUUGAAAUAAUAUUGCUAGAUUUUAUAGCUAUAACGUACUUGUCUAAUGCAUUGCACAAGAUAGGAAUUAUUCUUCAACGAAUAUGAAAAAUGAUUGAAGAAAGAAGAUCGAAAGGAAGGAUAGUUUGCUGAAUUGAAUAUCCUUGAACGAAUAUGAAAACCGAUUGGACGAAGAAAGAAGUUCGAAAGAAAGGAUGAAUGGCGUCGUUCCGGCAGGCCGAAGAUAAAUCGAGAUACUUCAAGAACACCCCGUACCUACACAGAUGUUUAAGAGCUAAGCAACUACUCAGAGCGAGUGAGUUGAUGCGAGCCGCGUAUCACGAGAAGGAAGUUCAAUUUAACCCAAUAAAGGACAAUCAGAGGCCGACGGCGACCAGAGACGAAUACCUACUACUCCUCUGAUGGCUAAACGGAUCGACCGAGGGACUUCGCCUUCAGGUCUUUUCGGCUCGGAAGAUGGAAAACUCGUCGACGUGUUCAGACAUCGUACCUACCAACGUCUUAUCGCAGACAUCCUUUCUGUUAGGCUUAGGGAGUUGGCGAAAAUGGAAAAGGCCAAUUCAGUUCAUUCUUCGGGUUCGCCGCUCCGCGAACGACAAGGAGCAUCUAGUUCACGAUCCAAUGGACCGUGAAGUCUGUGACAUGGACCAAGUGGAAUUUUCGGUCAGUGUGUUUCUUACAAAAGGCCGCAAAAAGCCCGCAAAAAGGCUGCAACGAUCCGCUAUGAGAAAGGAAAGGGAACAGAAUGGCUCAACGACGGGACUUGAAGCAUUCAAUGAUGCUGAUUCGUGAUCGCUGAUCGGGAACAUCGAUUUUGACAGGGUAGAAGAGUGGUAAACAAAGCGAUAGAUGAUUUACAAUUUCGUACAGUUUCUUACAGUUUAACUAAUAUUAAUAAUAAUUCAAGGUAAGUUGCAGUUUCUUUAUUUGCAGAAUUCAUUAUACAUUAAGUUACAAAUAGUACAUAGGAUUCUUAACACAUUCACUGCUACUAAUACGUGUGGUGUAUCGAUUAAAUACAGACAAAUUAUCGCUCAAAAUAAAGAAAUUUCUGAUACAGCGAAGAAUGUAACUAUAGGGACAGGUGAUCGUGUUUCAGUAACAGGAAGUGUGUUAGAGGGGUAACAUUUAUUAUAAAUUUUUUACUUAUAUCAUUAGAAACAGAAGAGACUCUUAUUUAUAUACAUAGAAGCUUGCAUAUUUUAUCUUCUAAAGGGACUUGAGCUACCAAUUAUUUUUUAUAUUACAUUUGUAGUUUAAUAUUUUACAAUUCUUUAUCAUUAUUCAAAUUUCAUUCUUAUUUUCAACCCUUAACUAUACAUCUGCGUAUCUUUACGCGUUUUAUUUACUGAAUCAUAUGUCAUGCAAGUUAAUCCAAUAUAUCUAUUAGAUACUUUCAAAUUUCUUACAACUGCUCGAAUUUCUUCGUCUUUACGAAGUGUUAGUUAACGCUUUCACAAUUCUCGAACUGGCAUAGUCCAGUCUAUAAAAUCUCGCGACGAUAUUGCCUAACCCCCCGAAAUAUGAGUUGUCACUCGCAGCGAGACGCAAAUUAAUUAUCAUGCAUUGAUAACAACGUGUUACAAGAGCAGACAAUCGGGGACCAACGGUGUCUCCAAAAUCUCACGGGGUUCAUUCACGGAAAGAGCGAGGGCUAUCUAUGAAAUUAGCGGGGGUUCGGCUUUAACCCUCCCCAUGGAUGGAUAAGGGGGGUUGAGCAUUAGCGAUUAUACGCACCGCGGAGUCCAUACAUCGGGUGUCUCCGUGUGGAACUAAACAGACAAAAUGGCCACACUACGGCUCACCCUCGAUUCCGUUUUCCUUUUACGAGCCACAGUGGCCGUCUCUUUUCAUCCUUCCCCCCUUCCUACGAGUUUCUCCUUUUUACCUACAAGGCAUUACCACGACAAGGAAGAGGCGAGUCACGAGAUUUUCGAAAGUGCUCUCUCGACUCUUUUCCUAUCUCUGUAUGCAGCCGCGUCUGUGGAAAGCGUACUGCACGCUCUAUCAACGUAGUAUUUCAUAGUGUUUAGUAUUUCUCCUCUGUUGCAUUUUACAUCUCGAUAUCGUCGUAAGAUCUAUCGAAAGGCGCAUUAUUUGCAUUUUACUGAUGUGAAUGGAAUAGUAGCGGGAGAUGGAUGAUUAAAUUACCCGGAGAGGGGUUGCUUUUUUCCUGAGAUUAUCUUGACCGAUUAUCUACUGCAAUAAUGUUCAAUAACGUGAUAUUACUCGGGCAAAGUCGAGAGCUGUGUGCAAUGUUUUUAUCAGUUUUACGCGAUUCAAAGAUUGCCAAGUGUCGAAGGAAAUACGGUAAUGAAAUUAGAAAAGAAAAUCUUCUUACGUUGGUUCUUCUAAUCUGGUUGUUGAAACGAUUUACAAAGUUUACAGUCGCGUACAGGACUCAUGAAAUAGCAUAGUGUCUUUUCUAGUGGAUUUCCUAGUUGGCUACUUUCCAAGUAUUAAAGAUUAUAACGUAAAACGUAUUCGAUAAGAACAUUAGAAAACGGAACUUUACCUCAAUUUUAUUAAUUCAUUUGAUUGAUCGCAAAAUAGAUGCUAGUAAUCUCUUCCCUAUCCUUCUUUUAUUCUUACAUUUAUUUUUACAAAAUCGGCUUUUGAACGAAAGGCGUGCCCAUAAACACGAAGCAGAUACAUGAAAAUAUUCUAAAACGUGUACACAUUUACAGCCCAUAAAAAAAAUGGCUAAAUAAAAAAUAAAGCCCAAAAUAAAAAAAAUUUUUGAAUUAAACACAAAUGUUUAAAUGCAAGCUCUUUUGUUGGUAGCUCUCUUCCAUCGCGUCUUCGCUUCGUUGCUCUCGCAAAAUCAAGUUUCAAAGGAGCGACGGGUCCAUCAAAAUGAGGACAUAUGUUGAUCGACGGUCCAGAAGAAUGUCCUGAAUCGUCCCUUGUCACAGCGUGUUGCGGUAUGCAUCGACAAACGAAAGUAGCUUCCCGUGGCGGCUAAGAUCGGUGUCAUCCCCUUAAGUGGGGACAAUGGGGCUAAAUCCGAUUUUCGAAAUGAUCCCGUUAAACGUGUCCAGGGAUUUACGGAGGGCGGAUGCUCUUCUCAAUAGCCGAUGUUUACCGGUCCCAAUGGAAAGGGAUUACUCCGUGCAUAUCCACUGCACGGGAAAGAGUGUACACCGAUGAACUCCCGCGGCGCCAAAGAGGGGAUGCUCGAAAGUCCGCGCUGCAGGGUGCAUGAGGCCUGAUCUUGGGAUACCUUCUCCAUCGAUCUGCAAUUUUAACAUACAUAAUAAAAUUAGAGCAACCACUAAUUAUCUCACAUGAAUUUUUCUUCUAAAAUAAUCCUGUCGUGGUGAAGGUUUUAAGAAUUCUGUCAUCGUUGCGGUAUAUAUUGAACGAUGUUUUUAUUUAUACUCUGGACUCAAUGUUUGAAUUAAACUUACAGAAAUAGGGUAGAGAAUGUUUAUUUUUGUUAAUGUAGAUGGAAUUUAUAAUUGUCAAAUAAAAUACAAAUAUUUA